AAAUCCUGUCUCGAUCCACUGUGUGGAGUGCCUUCAAAGAUCAAAAACAUGAUCUCUUCAUCUCGGAAUCGCAGACUGCAGGCUUUCUGACAGGUCCGGCAGUUGCAGGCUAUCUAACUGCUGGCACGGGUGCUACAGUUCUGUCCAGCGUCCCUCCACCCGUAGACAAUGACAUUGGAGACCUGGGCUAAAAACCAAACCUGCACUAACAGUUCAGUGAAUGCACCACUUUCAUAAGAGAAGCAGGCUUGAUGAGACAGACAGAUAAAUUACUUAAAGAAAGAGGAAAGGAUUGGGUGGAUUACAACCCUUGUGUAAACUUUCCUCUAAAUGUGUGCUGCUACGUCCUCCAUGUGUCCGUGGUGUUCCCUUUCAGCACACAGUUAUUAAUUAAUCUGCCUUUUUUUUUUUUUUUUUUUUUUUUAAAAUCUUUUUGCUCUUGUUCCUAGUGUAUUACAUUCGAUACCUUCAGUUUUGUUUUUUUUCCAAGAAGAGGUAAAUGUUUACUUUUGUAUGAGAAUAUUUUUUGCUGGAGGAAAAAAGACCCCUGAAGUGAAUACAACUUUAGAGAUCCAACCCUUACUUGAUUCCUUUCCCCUUCACUUCUGUCAUGCCCUCCAUGCUUUGUCUACACAAAGCUUCUAAUGACUUCUUAUUUUAACCAAAUCUUGGUUUAUCAUGCCAUACCACCAUUCACCUUGUGUUUUCUGUUGACCCUAAAAUGAAUGAAUUCUUGAUGAAGUUAAAGGAAAAAUUAAGAACUUCCUCUGUCACUUACAAUCACACCCCAUAGACUGAUCUGGCUUAAAUCUCCCCUUAUGUCUCAACAGACAGCCUGCUUUUUCUACCUUUUCUCACCCAGAAUGCAAAGAAAUCACUCAAAUAUUUAUAACUAGCCGUGUACUUAACUGAGGAAUGAUUUUCUGUAAACGUUCCCAGGAGAAAUGACACUGACUCUAAUUAAAAUCUAUGUCAAAGAUUAGUGCAGUUGUCAAACUGUCUAUAUAAUAUGAUACAUAAACUUUCUAUAUUGAAUGUACAAUCUAAAAAAUCAGUUACACUUGUACAUAACAUUUUAAGAAUAAA
ensembl:lncRNA